CCCAAGAACAUUAACGAGGACAUAGUGAAGGUGGACUUCGAGGAUGUGAUUGCGGAGCCAGUGGGCACCUACAGCUUCGACGGCGUGUGGAAGGUGAGCUACACCACCUUCACCGUGUCCAAGUAUUGGUGCUACCGCCUGCUGUCCACGCUGCUGGGCGUGCCGCUGGCCCUGCUCUGGGGCUUCCUGUUCGCCUGCAUCUCCUUCUGCCACAUCUGGGCGGUGGUGCCAUGCAUCAAGAGCUACCUGAUCGAGAUCCAGUGCAUCAGCCAUAUCUACUCACUCUGCAUCCGCACCUUCUGCAACCCAGUCUUUGCCGCCCUGGGUCAGGUCUGCAGCAACAUCAAGGUGAUGCUGCGGAAAGAAGUGUAAGGCCGGGUGGGUGAAGGGGGGAGAUGGCGAGGGCAGGGGAACCAGGCCAAGCUGCCCUCCCCGGUACUGCUCCAAGGGGCUGCCGGCAAGCCCGCUCUCCUUCCCCCAAGACUGCUGCUUCCCCCAGAUGGGGGCUCACAGUAUAGGGAAGCCAGAGAGGAAAGACAGCCCGACCACGAGUGCCGCGGCCUUCCCUCUGUCCCCUGCCCCGUCACAAGGCCCCCGUUGGGCACCAGGGAAGAUGAUUUGCUAAGAGGCAGCUACCACAAAUAUUUGCAUUCACUUGUACUGUAACAGCAUAAACCAGCACUCAGUUCCCAUCCAGGACGCACCCACCCAGGGACUGUUGGCCUUAGGAGGGUGGCUCCAAUAAAGGGUUUUGGCUGCAUCUGGGGAAUGCUGCAUAUUGUGUGUGUAUCCGUAAGGAGGGUGAGCAUACUGACCAGCUCCAAAAUUAUAUACUGCUGCCCAAGCAGCAGGAGGAACAGGCUGGCUGGCUCAUCUCUCAGCCAAAUGCAAGAACCACUUUGGUUUUUCUUGGGAUUCUUGUUGGCUGGUAUCUGCUCCUGCCAUGUUCCUUGGGAGAUUAUUUCCCCCUGACUUGUGUUGCCCCUGGGCCAGCCAGUGGUCACCCACAGAAGGAAAUGGCUCCUGGGCUGGAAGGGGCAGAUAACACUCUCUGGGCACCACCAGGGCAGGGCCUGCAUUCAAACCUUCCCUUUGGCUCAGACACUGAGACCCUGGCAUUGCCUCUUGGCACAUUACACCCUCAGCCCCAAAAGGGAUGUGAUGAGGGCAUAAGGUCCAAUCUGUGUAUGUGUGGACUCACCAUGGAAAUAAAAAGCAAUGGAAAGGUCAUGUCCUCUUGACCACCUACCCCCACCAGAAAAAAAAAAAAAAACCUUACAUUCUUUAGGGGUGUUUUUCCUAAGUGUAUUAUCCAUAACUUAGUCCUCAGGAAAAGGGGAGUGGGUGGCUUUUGUGCCUAAAUUUGUUGGGAAAAUGCUAAAUAUUUCUCUCAGAGAGCUUCAAUAGACCUUAGUAUGUUAAAGGCUCUGACAAGUCCUGCAGUAAAGAAAACUGUUUAGGCCAAAAUUCCCUGAUCCUAUUUUUUUGUUUGGUUUUUUUUUUUUUUUUUUUUUUUUUUUNNNNNNNNNNNNNNNNNNNNNNNNNNUUUUUUUUUUUUUUUUCUUUUUUAGGGCUACACCCAUGACAUAUGGAGGUUCCCAGGCUAGUGGUCGAGUCAGAGCUACAGCUGCUGGCCUACAACACAGCCACAGCAAUGCCAGAUCCAAGCCGCGUCUGUGACCUACACCACAGCUUAUGGCAACGCUGGAUCCUUAACCCACUGAUGGAGGCCAGGGAUCAAACCUGUAUCCUCAUAGAUCCUAGUAGGGUUUGUUAAUUGCUGAGCCAUGAAGGGAACUGCCCCCCCCCAAUCCUAUUUGACGUUUUUUGUUCACACAGCACCCAUUUAAGUCUCAUAAAAUUCAGGUUCCAAGACACUUUUCAGAUUUUCAGAGCCUCACUGACACCUGGCCAUGAACCCAAGGGUCCUGGGGGUAACAUGGUGGAGGGAAUCACGCAUAAACCACAGACAAAGCGCAGGCAGCCUCUAAUCUGUUCCUGCCUCUCACCCUGAUUGACCUCUCUGGUCUCAAAUUCAUCAUCCAUGAAAUGAUCUCUCAUGGCCAUUUCAGCACUUUUUACCUGUCUUUUCAAGCACCUUAGAGUGAAAUUUUCAAACACAGAGGAGUGUUGAAAAGGUUUGCCCCAAACACCUACCAGCCCACCAUCUAGAAUUCAUACUUUAUUACUCCUCCUUUGUUGCAUGUCCAUCUGUCACCCACCAAUCUCAUCUUUCUUAAUGCAUUUUUAAAUAAGCCACAGAUUUGGGUAUAUUUUACUCCUAAACACUUUUAUCAUUACUCCUUCCUUUUUGCAAACAAGGAAGCUACCACCCAGAAUUUCCCAUUACAGUUAAGAUCCUAGGUUAAGAAGCUGCCACAGCAUCCAUGAGAAUAUGGGGUUCCAUCCCCGGCAUCGUCCAGUAGGUUAAGGAUUUGGCAAUGCCACAAGCUGUGAUGUAGACCAUAGAUGUGUCUCAGAUCGAGCAUUGCUAUGGCUGUGGUAUAGGCCAGCAGCUGCCACUCCAAUUUGACCCCUAGCCUGGGAACUUUCAUAUGCUGCAGGUAGGGCC
rnacentral:lncRNA from 1 species